CCUACGGGAGGCAGCAGUGAGGAAUAUUGGUCAAUGGGCGUAAGCCUGAACCAGCCAAGUCGCGUGAGGGAUGAAGGUUCUAUGGGUCGUAAACCUCUUUUAUAAGGGAAUAAAGUGAGGCACGUGUCCCGUUUUGUAUGUACCUUAUGAAUAAGGAUCGGCUAACUCCGUGCCAGCAGCCGCGGUAAUACGGAGGAUCCGAGCGUUAUCCGGAUUUAUUGGGUUUAAAGGGAGCGUAGAUGGGUUUUUAAGUCAGCUGUGAAAGUCUGUGGCUCAACCAUAAAAUUGCAGUUGAUACUGGGAGUCUUGAGUACAGUUGAGGUAGGCGGAAUGCGUGGUGUAGCGGUGAAAUGCUUAGAUAUCACGAAGAACCCCGAUUGCGAAGGCAGCUUGCCAAGCUAUGACUGACACUGAUGCUCGAAAGCGUGGGGAUCAAACAGGAUUAGAUACCCUAGUAGUC
rnacentral:rRNA from 1 species